AGAGUUUGAUCCUGGCUCAGAGUUAACGCUGGCGGCGUGCCUAACACAUGCAAGUCGAGCGAAGAGUACCAGAGUACCGGGCUCUUAGCGGCAGACGGGUGAGUAACACGUAAACAAUCUGCCCUCGAAUGGGAGACAACCAAGCGAAAGUUUGGCUAAUACCCCAUACAAUCYUCUCCAGGCAUCUGGAGGGGAUGAAAGGCCCGCAAGGGUCGUUCGAGGAGGAGUUUGCGGCCUAUCAGCUAGUUGGCGGUGUAACAGACCACCAAGGCUAUGACGGGUAGCCGAUCUAAAAGGAUGACCGGCCACAAGGGCACUGAGACACGGGCCCUACUCCUACGGGAGGCAGCAGUGGGGAAUUUUGGACAAUGGACGAAAGUCUGAUCCAGCGACGCCGCGUGAAGGACGAAGGUUUUCGGAUCGUAAACUUCUUUUGCAGGGGACGAAUACGCGCAAGCGUUUGACGGUACUCUGCGAAUAAGCCACGGCUAACUACGUGCCAGCAGCCGCGGUAAUACGUAGGUGGCGAGCGUUACUCGGAAUUACUAGGCGUAAAGCGCGUGUAGGCGGGAGSUUAAGUUUGCUGUUAAAUCUCRURGCUCAACYAYGAAAUGCCGGCGAAUACUGGSCUUCUUGAAUUCGGUAGAGGWAACUGGAAUUCCAGGUGUAGCGGUGAAAUGCGUAGAUAUCUGGAAGAACGCCAAAGGCGAAGGCAGGUUWCUGGGCCGCAAUUGACGCUGAGACGCGAAAGCKAGGGGAGCAAACAGGAUUAGAUACCCUGGUAGUCC
rnacentral:rRNA from 1 species